GCUCGAAAAUGUUAAAGUUCUUAUUUCAUGGUAUAACUUUGGUAUGCUUGGACCUAGAGUCUUCAAACUUGACAUGAAGGUUGGCCAGGAUUAACAGAUGACCACUGGUCAUUUCAAGGUCAUUCAUUUGAAGGUCAAGGUCACUGUGACCUUCAAUAUAAAAAAUGUUAAAGUUGUUAUAACUUUGGUAUGCUUGGACCUAGAGUCUUGAAACUUGACAUGAAGGUUGGCCGUAACUAGUUAGUAACCACUGGUCAUUUCAAGGUCAUUCAUUUGAAGGUCAAGGUCACUGUGACCUUGAAUGUAAAAAUGUUAAAGUUCUUAUUUCAUGGUAUAACUUUGGUAUGCUUGGACCUAGAGUCUUCAAACUUGACAUGAAGGUUGGCCAGGAUUAACAGAUGACCACUGGUCAUUUCAAGGUCAUUCAUUUGAAGGUGAAGGUCACUGUGACCUUCAAUAUAAAAAUGUUAAAGUUGUUAUAACUUUGGUAUGCUUGGACCUAGAGUCUUGAAACUUGACAUGAAGGUUGGCCAGAACUAGUAAGUAACCACUGGACAUUUCAAGGUCAUUCAUUUGAAGGUCAAGGUCACUGUGACCUUGAAUGUAAAAAUGUUAAAGUUCUUAUUUCAUGUUAUAACUUUGGUAUGCUUGUACCUAGAGUCUUCAAACUUGAAAUAAAGAUAGGCCAGUACUAGAAGAUGACCACUGGUCAUUUCAAUGUCAUUCAUUUGAAGGUCAAGGUCACUGUGACCUUAAAUGUUAAAAUGUUAAAAUUGUUAUAACUUUGGUAUGCUUGGACAUAGAGUCUUCAAACUUGACAUGAAGGUUUGCAAGCACACUUAGAUGACCACUGGUCAUUUCAAGGUCAUUCAUUCUAAGGUCAAGGUCACUGUGACCUUGAAUGUAAAAAUGUUAAAGUUCUUAUAACUUUGGUAGGUAAAAAUGUUAAAGUUCUUAUUCCAUGUUAUAACUUUGGUAUGCUUGUACCUAGAGUCUUCAAACUUGACAUAAAGGUUGGCCAGUACUAGAAGAUCACCACUGCUCAUUUCAAUGUCAUUCAUUUGAAGGUCAAGGUCACUGUGACCUUCAAUGUUAAAAUGUUAAAAUUGUUAUAACUUUGGUAUGCUUGGACCUAGAAUCUCAAACUUGACGUAAAGGUUUACAAGCACACUUAGAUGACCACUGGUCAUUUCAAGGUCAUUCAUUUCAAUGUCAUUCAUUUGAAGGUCAAGGUCACUGUGAACUUAAAUGUUAAAAUGUUAAAAUUGUUGUAACUUUGGUAUGCUUGGACCUAGAAUCUCAAACUUGACGUAAAGGUUUGCAAGCACACUUAGAUGACCACUGGUCAUUUCAAGGUCAUUCAUUUGAAGGUCGAGGUCACUGUGACCUUGGAUGUAAAUAUGUUAAAGUUGUUAAUACUUUGGUAUGCUUAGACCUAGAGUCUUCAAACUUGAUAUGAAGGUUGGCCAGAACUAGUAGAUGACCACUGGUCAUUUUAAGGUCAAGGUCACCGUGACCUUGAAUGUAAAAUGUUAUGUGUCCAAUCUAUCUGCUAGAACUGGUGUGAUAGAAACCUUUUGGAGUGAUCAUAAGGCUGUCUGGAUUUCUGUGUAGGUAUGUGAAAGCAAAACAAUAAAUAGUAUUAUUUCAUCUAAGUUUAUUUUCUUACAUUUGAUAAUGAAAUUGAUGGAAACUUCAAACAAUAUGUUACUAAUUUGCUAAUAAAAAAAUUGAGAUCAAACUUUCCUAAUUGUCAAUUCAAGUUCAUAUUUGUGACCUUAAAUGUUAUUGUUGUUCAUGUAUAUGCAUGCAUUCAAAACAUAACACAAGGUUUGCUCAUGCCUUGAAAAGUACUUACAUUUCAUUUUGACCUUUGAACAAUAUUUCAGUAAUUUAAGUAUUGCAUUGACAAAAACACGAAAGGUACUUUCCUGUCAUUUAAAUCAAAAAUCCGGCUUCAAUGCGGUCAUCUCCGACCGCGGAACUCUUGUUCAAGACCUUCGAUUACUUUUAUGGCUUCAUUUUCAAGUUUGUGUGUUACUUUUUUUAUUAGCUUACCUGAGCACAACUUUCUCAUGGUGAGCUUUUGUGAUCGCCUUUUGUGCGUCGUCUGUCAUGCAGCGUCAACAUUAACCUUGUUAACACUUUAGAGGUCACAUUUAUUGUCCAAUCUUCAUGAAACUUGGUCAAAACAUGUGUCCCAUUAAUAUCUUGGAGGAGUUUGAAAAUGCUUCUUGUCGUUGAAAAACCUGCGUGCCAGGGGACGUGGCAGUUUUCCUAAUAUGGCUAUUAUAAAACCUUGUUACGACUCUAGAAGUUACAUUUUUUGUCCAAUCAUCAUGAAACUUGGUCAGAACAUGUGUCCCAAUGAAAUCUUUGACAAGCUCAAAAAUGGUUCCGGUUGGAAGAAAAACAUGGCCGCCAGGGAGCAGGGCAGUUUUCCUAUUAUGGCUAUAGUAAAAUUGUUCACACUGUAAAAGUCAAAUUUAUGGUCCAAUCUUCAUGAAACUUAGUCAGAACAUUUGUUCUAAUGAUAUCUUGGACGAAAUCAAUUAUGGUUCCAAUUGGUUGAAAAACAUGGCUGCCAGGUGGCGUGCCAGUUUUUCCUUUAAUGGCUACAGUAAAACCUUGUUAACACUCUAGAAGUCACAUUUUUAGUCCGUCAAAACAUGUUUCUCAAGAAAAUCUUCAACGCGUUCGAAAAUGGUUCCAGUUGAAUGAAAAACAUAACCGCCAGUGGUCGUGGCAGUUUUCCUUAUAUAGCUUUAGUGUAUAGUAAAACCUUUUUAACACUCUAGAAGUCACAUUUUUUGUCCAAUCUUCAUGAAACUUAGUCAGAACAUUUCUACAACCCAUAUCUCAGAUGAGUUUGAAAAUGGUUCUGGUCUGUUGAAAAACAUGGCUGCCAGGUGGCGGGCCAGUUUUCCUUACAUGGCUAUAGUAAAACCUUGUUAUAACGCUAAAAGUCACAUUUGUGGUCCAAUGCUUAUGAAACUUGGUCAGAAUAUUUGUACUAAUGAUAUCUUGGCUCAGAUUGAAAAUGGUUUAGGUCCGUUUAAAACAUGGCCGCAAGGGGGCGUGGCAUUUUUCCUAAUAUGGCUAUUUAGUAAUGUUAACACGAGAAGUCGCAAUAAUUAUCCAAUCUUCAUGAAACUUGAUCAGAACAUUUAUUCUAACAAUAGCUCAGCUGAGUUUGAAAAUGGUUAAAAUACGUUGAAAAAUAUCGCCGCCCGGAAGGGGGGGGCAGUUGUCCUUAUAUGGCUUUAUUGAAAACUUGUUGACGCUAUAUUAGCCUCAUUUAUUGCCCAAUCUACAUGAAACUUGGUCAAAACAUUAUUUUGUCCCAAUGAAAUCUUAGCGAAGAUUGAAAAUGGGUCAUAUGAGCUUAAAAACUAGGUCACUAGGUCAAAUAUAUAAAAAAAAACAUGUUGAAAGUCACUUUUUUGGUCUAAUCUUCAUGAAUCAGCUUUCAUUUGUCCAGAAUAGUCUAGUACCUUUUGCUCUCAGGUGAGCGCCUUAGGGCCUAACAGCCCUCUUGUUUUAAAUGACUUGCAUCUUAUUGUUGUGUUAAGUAUCUUGCCUUUAAUUAUUUCCCAUAAGGUGUGUGGAUUUGCAUCUUUGUUAUCUUAAACUGUAUUGGUUAUUACCUGUUAUAUUUGUGUUUGAUAUUGUGUAUCUUUUUAAAAGCUAUUAUUUACUUUAAAAAAAAAGAACAUUUUGAAUAACAUAAUGGAAAACUACAAUUACAUAAACAUAUGGCAUACAGUUAAUCAUAAUGAAAAAAAUACACCUGGCACUCAAACACAAAACCAGCAAUAUUUUGGAGAUAAGAUUUUUUUAAAUAUGCGAGUCUAUUGCAACAUUAUCAAAACAUGCAACAUUAAACCAGGAUUUAUGACUGAUCACUCGAUAGUUGAACUUUAACUGCAUGAAAUACAACCUGAAAUAGCCCAAGGUACUUUAAAGAUUUCCAUUUCUUUUAUCUCUAAUAAUGGGUUAAGAACAAUAUUGAAAUCCUCUCCGACUAUCUAUGUUCGGACCGUAAACGUUCAUUAAUGUUAAUUGUGUUUCAUGUAUUUUUAUAUCUAUACUUGCUUGUCUGCCAAUCAUUAUUACGUUCAAGUAAUCCACUGUUAUUCCUGUAUGACUUUUACUCAGACAAGCGAUGCCUUGUUUAUUUGUAUGUUGUCCGCUAAGAUAAAUAUCUCCGUCCCAACCACUUUUUAAUGUUUUUGCUAAGGUAUGUUUUAGGUGACUUUCCUGUAUAAAAAAGACUUAUAAUACCUUUUUUUGUCUAACCAUUUGAAACUUUUAGUGCAUUUAUCUUUGUUAUUUAGCCCUUGUACAUUUACAGUACAUAUGGUAAUACUCACACAAAAGAACGAAAAUUGCAUGAUACCAUUCUUGUUCCAAACAUUUUAAAAUCAUUUUGUAGAGCUAGAUUAUUAGUUAGUUCAUUAUGUCAAGUUAUAUUAAGCUUUGAUGUUAAAAACAAUUACCAUCCAUGUUCAACAGGUUGUUGAAACAUUGUAUUCAUUAAAUUGAUCUCAGCA